AAUACCUAUAAAACAUAUCGGGGAGGUC
rnacentral:piRNA from 1 species